rnacentral:misc_RNA from 1 species
UCAAGCUGGAAAUUCCAAAUCUCAUUCCAACCAUUUCAUAAAAAGAUGAACAUAAAAAAAAAAUAAAAAUUUCGUACAAAUCAAAUUCUGAAACUGCAUUUCUGCAGGCACUUCGGAUACUAUUGUAGACAACUCUCUGUCAAAUGUCAGACAUUUUUCAUGGUGUCAUAGACCUCCAAUACAUUAAUGGGGUAAAAAACAGAAAACAUUGGUGUUUCAUUUUUUUUUCCCAUGUGAUGAACUGGUAUAAAUGCUUCUGAAGCUUCUAAAAUUCAGUAGGCCAGGUGGAAAAAACUGUGCUGCAAAAGUAAUGAUGAACCCUUGUAAUGAGAAGAUGAAAAUUUUGAGAUAAUCUUAGUAGCUCUUUUUCUUUUUGAUCAUAACUCCCGCACCAACAGCAUAAAUCUAAGGCGAACACAUCAAAAUGUGCUCCAGUGAUGGACAAAACGAUGUUAAAAUGAUUCUCUGUUUUACUGGCACCACAGCAAACUAAUAACUGACCAAGAAAACGUGAAGAAAAUGACUGGAACUAUUUCUGAAGACUAUUACCAUCUGCAUACACUCCAGAAGUGGUAGUAUUUGGAAUGCUCUGCAAAAACAUUGCCCUUGCUGCAGGAUCUGUUGAAAAUCGACCGAGUACAGCAACUGUAGCUGUAUUACUUCCAAACUUCUCAAUACCUCUAGAAAUCAUACAAGUAUGAACUACAAUCACAUCUCCACCUAAAAACGAUGAAACAGUCUCUGCAAUCUGCCUGGUAAGCCUUUC